rnacentral:rRNA from 1 species
GAUGAACGCUGGCGGCGUGCCUAACACAUGCAAGUCGAGCGGGGAUCUGCGAAGGAAGUUUUCGGAUGGAAUUUGCAGAUUCUAGCGGCGGACGGGUGAGUAACGCGUGAGCAACCUGCCCUCCACAGGGGGAUAACGCACCGAAAGGUGCACUAAUACCGCAUAAGACCACGUUUCUGACAUGGGGAUGAGGUCAAAGGAGCAAUCCGGUGGAAGAUGGGCUCGCGUCUGAUUAGCUAGUUGGUGAGGUAACGGCCCACCAAGGCGACGAUCAGUAGCCGACCUGAGAGGGUGAUCGGCCACAUUGGAACUGAGAGACGGUCCAAACUCCUACGGGAGGCAGCAGUGGGGAAUAUUGGGCAAUGGGCGAAAGCCUGACCCAGCAACGCCGCGUGAAGGAAGAAGGUUUUCGGAUCGUAAACUUCUAUCCUUGGUGAAGAUAAUGACGGUAGCCAAGAAGGAAGCCCCGGCUAACUACGUG